GGAUGACCCGGCCGUUCUCGGGAGCACAGCCUGCAGGAGGCUGCCCUCCCAGAUCCUCCCCUCGGGCUUUGUCAGAGGUAAGGCACAUGCAGCCCUCGGCCCCCGCUUGGCCUGACGCUGCUGCAGGGCUGCUCUGUCCCCAGUCGCAGUGGAGAUGGCUAGUUUAUUGAGGCCCUCUUGGCCCAGCUGCCUUCCCUCCCUCCUCCUCCUCCUCCAGCUGCCUUGCAGCUCUGCAGGACAGUUCAGAGUCAUAGGACCAGCCCACCCCAUCCGGGCGCUGGUGGGGGAUGAAGCAGAACUGCCGUGUCGCAUCUAUCCUGGGAAGAAUGCCACAGGCAUGGAGGUGGGCUGGUACCGGCCCCCCUUCUCCAGGGUGGUCCAUCUCUACCGAAAUGGCAAGGACCAAGACGCAGAGCAGGCGCCCGAAUAUCGGGGGCGGACCGAGCUGCUGAAAGAAACCAUGGGCGAGGGGAAGGUGACCCUCAGGAUCCGGAAUGUGAGGUUCUCAGAUGAAGGAGGUUUCACCUGCUUCUUCCGGGAUCAUUCCUACCAGGAGGAGGCGGCAAUGGAACUGAGAGUGGAAGACCCCUUCUACUGGAUCAGCCCCGGAGUGCUGGUUCUCAUCGCGGCCCUCCCUGUGCUGCUUCUGCAGAUCACCGUUGGCCUCGUCUACCUCUGCCUGCAGCACAGACUGAGAGGAAAACUUCGAGCAGAGAUAGAGAACCUGCACCGGACGUUUGAUUCCCCCGUGCCUAAGGACCAUGCCUGCAACAGAGGGCCGCCCACAUCCUUGUGGGAUGGAUGUUGCACAAAGUAUAAAAUGCCUUAAGGCAGAGCACAGAGGGUCCCUUCCCGAACGAGGAGCACUCCCUCCGAGUGUCUAGGACACCACAUCAGCAUGCAGACCAUGCACACACAGUCUCUGCAACCCAAGAAGGGAGGAACACGGUCUUGGUUUUGUAGGAUUCAAGUAGCAAAGGUGUUACCUCUUUCUGUACCAUGAGUCUCCUCGACAUUCUGGUGAAGCCUAAUGGACCCUUUCCCAGAAUAAGGUUUUUAAAACAGUCACAGAAAACGUUAACAGGUACGAUUGCAGAGAAAACCAUUGAGUUGAAAUACAGGUAUCAAAAUAUAAACCCAUUUGUAAUAUAGUAACAAAUGUUUCUUUAAAUAACAAAAACACACUAACAAUGUAGCAGCAGGUCCAAUAACUUUGUCAAACUAUUGACAAGCAUUUUGAGAUUUCAGCAAUAACUCCAGUGGGAAUGAAAGUAUCUGUGGUUUCUUUGGUGAUAAAGUCACAGGACUGCUGAUGACUGGUUUGUGGCCUCCAUUUUUAAUGGAAGAAAUGCUAAAUUCAGUUAAAGGUUGGUGAAAAUAAGGAUGCAGGGCCUUUCUCAUCUGAGUUCAACAGCUCCCUGAACUCUGCACAAGAGCCUGGUGUUCUUGGACCACAGGUUAGGCUCAACAAUACAUGGAGAAGGGCGGGAGGGGUGGGGGACACCGGCUAAUCCUGUUUGCUCUGUGGCCACGGCUCAGACCCCCACUUCCUGAGGGUGCCCUGUUGGAAGAUAACCCUGUUUGUGCUGGUGCCGGUGCUCGGACCCCUGCUCGCCUUGGUCAUCUGCUAUGAAUGGCUGCAUGGAAGGCUUGCAGGGCAAUUUCUUGAAGAGCUAAGUAA